rnacentral:lncRNA from 1 species
GAGUAAAUUUUUUUUGUCGUCUUUCUGAUUAUAUUAAAACCCAAUAGGGCAGAUUACAUAUGGUUCCAAGCCCAGAAACAUUACAACUUAAAUUUAAGCCCAUAAACAUAAUUGGAUAACUAUUGGUAGACUUAAACACGUGUAGCACACGUGGCUGCUUUGGGAAGAAACUAGAUUGACGGUGAGAACUGAGAAGAUGCCGCCGAACAUCGACGAUACAGAGCUUCCGGAACCAAAAUCCGAUGAACAUAAAAUCCAUCAGAUCCAAUAGCUGCCACAUGAUUUUAUGUCUCCGCCGGUACCAUCGUAAACUCCUUCUACAAUAAAGAACUUGGGUGGUCAAAAUUCUUUACACCUCCAUUAAAUGCAGUUCCGACCAUCUUUGACUCAUGACUAUUACCCUCCACCUUGAAAAAAGUUCUUCAUGAGGGAACCAAAGGAGAUCUAACAUCCCAGCCGUGAGAGGACGAUGCCAAAUGUUGGAGUAGAAGCCUUCACCACCAUCACCUUACCACCUCUUGAAAGAAAGCGGUUAGAUCUGUAGAAGAAGGACAAGAUCCGAAAUCGAAAAAACCAAUUGCUUGAUUUCUAAAUUCUCCAUCUUAGCCAAAUCUUCAAAUUUGGAAAGAAUUUUCGCUCCACUAAGGAUUAGCGAAGAGUUUCUUUUUACAAACAUGAAAAUUCGAUCUUAAAAGCAAAAGGAAUUUCGAAAGCAGAAAAGCAAAAGGAAUUUCGAAAGCAGAAAAGCAAAAUCCGGUUAACACCGGAAAAGUAAAAUCCGUAAAACGGAAAGACAUAUUACACAUAAAUCUGGUUAUACCGGAAUUUAUUCUCCGAUUGAACGGAUGAAAAAACAAAAAAGAGAAGAUCGCUCUCUCUCUCUGUGAAAGAUCUAGAGAGAGAACAGAGAGAGGAGCCCAGGAAAAAGAACAUUGACUUUUCAAUCGAGUAAAUUUCUUUAAAUUAAGUAAAUUCAGUUAGUUCAGUUAAUUCGGUUAAAU